AAAAAUAGACAGAGAAAAUGGCGCAUGGAACCUAAGAACAACAUAAUGAAAAUGCCGAACCCCCAGCUCCCUUCUUCUCCCCGCUUCUCCAUUUCUCAAAAUACACACACACAUCAAUCAUACACACGCAAAAACAACCAAAAGAAAAAAUCGCUUUAUGAGAGAGCCAUGGAUUAUUGAGUUGAAGAAAUCUGAAAUUUUCAAUUUUUAAAAGGAAUUAUAAAAAAGGAAGAAGAACCAAUUUGGUUCUCAAUUCUGUCGGCGCUGCUGUUGAUGCUGAAUUUCUACUGGGCUUCAGUCGAGUCCGUCUCGAUUUUUUGGUUCAUUUUAUCCAAUGUAAUCCGUUAUUUUCAGUGAGUUGAAGACUAGCAACAACAUUGAUGUAAGUUUACCUUUUUUUUAAUUGUCUUCAUUAAGAUAUCAUUCAGGUAUUUCUAUGAUUAGAACUUUUCUUUUCGUUAUUCUUUUGUAGGAUUGGUUUUCAGUU
rnacentral:lncRNA from 1 species